rnacentral:rRNA from 1 species
CAAUAGCGUAUAUUAAAGUUGUUGCGGUUAAAAAGCUCGUAGUUGGAUUUCUGCUGAGGAUGACCGGUCCGCCCUCCGGGUGAGUAUCUGGCUCAGCCUUGGCAUCUUCCUGAAGAACGUAACUGCACUUGACUGUGUGGUGCGGUAUUUAGGACAUUUACUUUGAGGAAAUUAGAGUGUUUCAAGCAAGCGCACGCCUUGAAUACAUUAGCAUGGAAUAAUAAGAUAGGACCUCGGUUCUAUUUUGUUGGUUUCUAGAGCUGAGGUAAUGAUUGAUAGGGAUAGUUGGGGGCAUUUGUAUUUCGUCGCUAGAGGUGAAAUUCUUAGAUUGACGAAAGACAAACUGCUGCGAAAGCGUCUGCCAAGGAUGUUUUCAUUGA